AGCAGUUCUUGGUCAGGUGCUACAGCUGCAGAGCUCUUCACUUACCGUCUUACAGGAAGAAAAUACAUGAGGAUCACAUCACAGCCAAGAUCCCAAGAAGUAGGUGAGUGAAACAAAGAGGGGAGGAAGUUCAUUGCCCCAUGAACAAAGUCUGGGACACCAGAUUUUUUUAACUGUA
rnacentral:lncRNA from 1 species